AGCUCCAUCAAAAUGAAGUAUGCUGCCAGGCAUGCCCAAGGUCUCUGGUGAACAAGGAAUCUGGUUUCCUUUACCUUCUUUUGGCUGUCUAUCUGU